CCUACGGGAGGCAGCAGUGAGGAAUAUUGGUCAAUGGACGAAAGUCUGAACCAGCCACGCCGCGUGAAGGAUGACGGCCCUAUGAGUUGUAAACUUCUUUUGUAAGGGGCUAAAACGAGACACGUGUGCCGGUUUGCAAGUACUUUAUGAAUAAGGAUCGGCUAACUCCGUGCCAGCAGCCGCGGUAAUACGGAGGAUCCAAGCGUUAUCCGGAUUUAUUGGGUUUAAAGGGUUCGUAGGUGGGUUGUUAAGUCAGGGGUGAAAGUCUGCGGCUCAACCGUUGAACUGCAUUUGAUACUGGCAGUCUUGAGUGCAGUUGAGGUAGGCGGAAUGCGUGGUGUAGCGGUGAAAUGCGUAGAUAUCACGAAGAACACCGAUUGCGAAGGCAGCUUACCAAACUGUGACUGACGUUGAUGCUCGAAAGUGUGGGGAGCAAACAGGAUUAGAUACCCCAGUAGUC
rnacentral:rRNA from 1 species